rnacentral:tRNA from 1 species
UGGUUCCGUAGCUCAGUGGAUAGAGCACUCGUUUCCUAAACGAGGUGUCGGAGGUUCAAUCCCUCUCGGGACCGU